UCAGUUGUGAAAGUUUGCGGCUCAACCGUAAAAUUGCAGUUGAUACUGGGUGUCUUGAGUACAGUAGAGGCAGGCGGAAUUCGUGGUGUAGCGGUGAAAUGCUUAGAUAUCACGAAGAACUCCGAUUGCGAAGGCAGCUUGCUGGACUGUAACUGACGCUGAUGCUCGAAAGUGUGGGUAUCAAACAGGAUUAGAUACCCUGGUAGUCCACACAGUAAACGAUGAAUACUCGCUGUUUGCGAUAUACGGUAAGCGGCCAAGCGAAAGCGUUAAGUAUUCCACCUGGGGAGUACGCCGGCAACGGUGAAACUCAAAGGAAUUGACGGGGGCCCGCACAAGCGGAGGAACAUGUGGUUUAAUUCGAUGAUACGCGAGGAACCUUACCCGGGCUUGAAUUGCAACUGAAUGAUGUGGAGACAUGUCAGCCGCAAGGCAGUUGUGAAGGUGCUGCAUGGUUGUCGUCAA
rnacentral:rRNA from 1 species